UAUUUUUUCUUUCAGCACUGGGAAGAUUCUGCUCCGUUUUCUCCCGUUCUGCAUGGAUUCUGUCCAGAAGGACGCCGUCUUUCCAAUCGUCCCUCUGGGAUAGCAUAUGAAAAAUAGUGUUUUAUUUUCCAAAUCUCCGUGGAUUGUGUGGACAACGCAGGCAACAUUUAAGUCAUCAUUUUCAGCACUGGGAAGAUUCUGCUCGGUUUUCUCCGGUUCUGCAUGGAUUCUGUCUAGAAGGACGCCGUCUUUCCAAUCGUCCCUCUGGGAUAGGAGCCUUUUGGUUGUGACAGCUACAUUUAGAUCUGUGAUCCACCUGAGUUCCGUUUUCUGUGUGAAGUGAGGUCAUAAGGAACUUCGUGGGUGUGAGUCUGAAUCCCUUCUGCUCACAACACGCGAUGAACUCUCCUGUAUGCCUGCUUCGUGCCUCUCAGCUUGGUGACAGUGAUGGUGCCAGGUAUACACUGCGUCGGAUUGUUCUUCCCAAGAUUCAUUCACACUGUCUCCAAAUCCUUCACGGCCUGCUCAGCGACAGCUACAACUCGCCGUGGACCCGCGUACUUCACCAAACCCACAGAGAAUGGCUGAUCUGUCAUUUCAUGGUAUUGCUGCUCCUUGUAAUUGUCCGGCAGAGAUGAGGUUCAAGAAGCUGCUUUAUCACUCUAAAGUAACUUCAAAAUGACUAUUUAAUUUGGUCCUCACAAUGUCCCUGGUUUGUAAAGUGGGUAGAAAUGGGAAACAGGAGAAAUGUAGGGCCAAAUAUUUAAGCAGAGAACAUCUGUUAAUACCAAUGUGUUCCGUAGGUUGAGUUGCUUUUUUUUUUUUUUCCCAGAAGGAAUUUAGGUGAGACAAAAUGAACUGGUCUAGCAAUCUAACAUUCACAGUGCUCGUACUUCAGUGAUUCCUCACGUUACUGGAAGGACGUCAUAGUAACAGAGGUGAUUCCCUUCCUAAGUGCUUCAUAUCAACUCAUUUUAAAUGUUCACUUCAUGUUGACAGCAUGAUGGAAAUUAUAAAGCCUGGCUCAAAUCCAUUGCACGAUUCGUACAGAAAACUAGCUCCCUCGCAUUUAUCCACUCAGCCAAUUGUUGCCAUUGUCGAGUGGUGAUGUCGGAUGUGAACAUGAAGCCAGUGGAGGCCACGUGACUUGUUGACAAUGAAGUUGUCAAGACUAGCAUGGCAGUCAUUGGUUUCCCAGAUUCUCUGUUUUUUUAUUGAACCCUAACAGGGCCAGCAAUUGUUGUUGGCUCUGAACACAGCUCCCCCUGGAUGACACAGGCUUGAUUACCAUGAUGUGUUGGUCUUACCUAAGCGGGUAUUGUUCCACUCCAGAAUGACUUGCCCAGUAUUUAUCCUAUUCAGGGUUGUUUGGAGUCAUUUUCUAGUAUGUUCUUUAAGACAUAAAAAGUGGACCAGGUGGAAGUCCAAUAGAUGAGAAUAAUACAGAGUGUGGUAUAGAAAGCAGUGGAUUUGUUUUCCUCGGAAUCAGUCCCUAUGUUCAUGACGUUCAGUUUCUAGUGGAUGUUACAUCACAUGUAACUCACUACAACUACUGUGUACAUCAGAAUUUAUUGUUGGUCUAGUGUGGUCUAGUGUCAACGAACUGCUGCUUCAGGGGUUUCCCCAGUGCCUGAGUGAAGAUUAUGCUCAGGAAACUCCAACUCUUCUUCUCAUGGUGCUUGGUGAGCUGUCCUCUGUCAUCCCAUUCCCUGCCCCUUUGCUGGAUGCCACUUAAAAGGUCAGUCUAUUGGAUUGGUUUCCAUAUGAAUGACUUGUUCUGUGUUCACUUUCCUCGGGGCCACUUACGGUUAUAUAUGCAGCAUAUGAUGCAGGCUUUGAACACUUACCCAGCACAAUAUUUUCUGUGUGAGAAAAUAAACGGUGCCAUAUUAUGUAUACCAGGCAAUAAUUUCACUAGAACCACUUGCCAUAUGUUGGCUACCUUCAAUUUCUGCUGAACUAGGUGAACAUUGGUACUGAGUUUUGUUUUGUUUUUUUUCCCUCACCUCCCUGAGGAAAAACAGUUGGUCUCGUUAUAUCUGCUAUAGAGAUUGAAUUAGGGCCUAAAAAUUAUAUGCCCAUGAGAGAGACAGAUUGACCUCUAUCACUACUGAUUUAGAAACUACCAUGCAUGCUGCCAUAGCAUGGUGACUCCCCACAGGAGUGAUGCAGGUACAUUGGUUAAAAAUAACGUGGAAAAGUACCUAAGAUUGCAGCAUUUAUUCAGCACACUACAGGGCCGCAUAAGAAAGCCCUGUUUAGCAGUUAAAGGUAUGGGGGAUUCAGUGAAUAUUCACAUUACUGAAAGACUUUCGUUAUCCAAGGAGAUGAUUAAAUUCCUCUUAAAACUCUUCAUUUCUACAUUUUAAAUUUUCAUUAAACCAGCAGCAUGAGGAAAAUUAUAGGCUCUGUUGAACAUUCAUUACAUGAAUCUCACAGAGAAUGACAUCCUUGUCAUCUACAAUCAAAGGGGGUUGUCGCAUUUGCCAAAAACUGCAGUGCUAUACGAACCUACGUCUAGUGCAUACCACAACACUUGAUGACGGGGAUGCUCCAGGUUUCCUAUGUCAGCCACUGAUUUCUAAGAUCUAUACUUUCUCAUUGUUUAUUGACAGGGCCAUGCAGGCACUAUUAGAAGUAUUCUACCACAAGUCUAUCUAGUGCACAGGCAAGAAAAGACCAUCUUUCCCUUGGAGCAGUGCUCAGGUUAAUAACUGGUCAUGUGUGCACCCCGGUCAGAGCUUCUACACAUCAUCCUUCCUCAUGGCAUGUGGGCUUUAAACACACAGCGACCUGUUUAUUUCCAGGAGAUCCCAGGGAAAUGAAGGUUCCAUGCUGUGAUGGCCAGAUGUAAAUGGUUGCCCAUGAGGCUAAUUGUCACCUCCUCACACAACAUCCUGAAGCCUCUUGUGUGUUCCCUUUGCAUCAUGCCGCUUUGAUGGUGGCCAGCAAGCGUGCCUAAUGAUCCCAGGAGUGCCAUCCCAGUAGAACUUUUCCCUAUGGGUGUACCUACUCCUAAGAACAGGCCAGACCACCUUGAUCACCACUGCACAGUACUGGUGGUUCAGGGGUUCCUUGGUUCCUGGCAUUGGUGGAUGAAGGUCUGAGCGAUGGGACUGAAUCCCUCCCUCUUGGGACCAUGAUUUCCCGCUCCAAAAGGACAGAGGGCAAUGGAGAUACUGGUCGUAUUAUGUCAGGUACCAGAUUGCAAAAGGUUAUUUUAAAUAGCAAGCAGGUUCAUUGCAGCAAUUGUACAACAAGUAUUGGGUGCUGCAAGCAGAGCUUCACCCACAAGAGACAGGUCUGUCAACAAAGACAGGGCCAGUCAUGAACACACAGGUUAUUGAUGAGGGCAGAAUGAUUCACAGAGUAAAUGCCCCUCUGAAGAUGAAGUUACAGAUAUCUUCCCAAAUGUUCUGUGGGAUAUGAAAGGAGAAUCAUGUGGAGGUGCAGCUGGGGUGAACGAGAUGGUGGAAAAGGUAGAAUGCUUUGUACUGGAUUUCCGGAACAUGACCCCGCAUUCACGGCCAUCAGUUUCUCAGGUGAUUUUGUCCUCUAAGGAGCUGGUUACAGUCGAUGUCCUAUAUGAAGACAAGUGGUGGCACAUUUCCAAGUAUUUCUGUUGCUGAAGGGUGUUGUCAGUAAUGGAAGAAAAGUCAUGCCCCUAGUCUUCGUCCUGUUGUCCUUCAGUGAGUGGAUAGCCUCACGCUUCUAUCGCCACCGGCUGUCCCUAUACUGGUGAUCCUUAGAAUGGUGUGUUUGGAUUCCCCCUGGUUGUCUCCCCCUCUGUGACAGGUCCUGUGUCAGUCCUCUCAAGGGCAUUAGCAGGGAACUGGUAGCAUGUGCACCAUGGUGGUAAGCACACCUGGUAAGAUAUUCCCUAGUACCUAUGUACCAAGAAGGAUUCAAGGUCCUAAGAAAGGAAAAGGAAGUGUUACCCCAGAGCCAGUUACCCUUUUUGACUGCUUGUUUCUGCUGGACCUGUCCAUUGAGGCCACUGAUCUCAUUUCCGUCAGCUCCCGCGAGGAAAGCUGGCCAUUCCUGUGAACUCUGACCUGUUCCCCUGCCUCUGAUGCCUGUCUCAAAGACAUUCUCCCCCGGAGGCUGGCUAUCUCCUGCUCUGUACUGCUUCGGGAAUGCUCACGUAUGUUCCCAUUGUGUGACAUUAUCCUCCAAGGAAAUGAAAUUCCCUUUAGUACAAUCCUUCGCAGAUAUUUCAUCCAUAGUUCUCAUCCCCACUGUCACACCGCUUGGCAGAGUACUCAAGCCUGUCUUCUCCCUGAGAUGAGUACAUGCGUGCUCCUUGACAACUGGCUUUUCUCUCAGAAGUGGGAGAAAUGUAAUCCAUAGUGGUGGCGGGCUUUGCUUGCCUUCUCCUCAAAGUGCUUCGUUUUCACUUGUAUUCCAGUCCCGGGUUUUGCCACAUCUAUAUUAGAAAUGAGGGUGUCUCAACCAAAUCCGAUGUGUGGGUCUUCCUGAGAAUUACCUGUCCUGUGUUUCCAACUUAAGUCUGGUGCUUGCACUGCUCUCUGAUGCUGUGUGUAGGGUCCGAAAGCGAGCUUCUAUCCAGCCAGAAGUCUUGGGUCCUCUCGUGCAUCAGUGUGAUGACAGGUAAUCAAGUGCCUGUUGGGAGACUGAGGACGUGAGGGCGGUGGAGUUGUUCGAAUCAGCAUGUCAGGGCUCGGUGUCAGAGAAUUUAUUAAUUAUCGACACCAUGCACCCUGCAGCCAUAGUACAAAAAGUUUUGGGUGUCUUGGACUGAGCUUCCCGUGCAUGAGCCAGCCCUGUCCCCAAAGAUGGGUCCAUUCAUGAAUAAACAGGGUGUUGCUUCACAGCAGAAUGAUUCACAUAGUCAACGCUCCUCCAAGGACCAAGUUUUAGAAAUUUUCGAGAAGGUGCUGUGGGUUAUGAAAGGAGAACUGUGUGAAGGUGCCCUGGGGGUGAACGUGAUGGUCAAGAAGGUAGAAAGUUUUGUACUGGAUUUGGGGAAUUUGACUCCCAUCAUUCAUGGCUUUCAGUUUCUCAGGUGCUCUUGUACCCUUAAACACGGGUUACAGUUCAUAUCCUGUAUGUAGACAGGAGGUGGCACUUUUCCAAGUAUUUCUGUUGCUGAAAGGUGUUGCCUAUAAUGGAAUAAACGUCAUGCACUUGCUCUCCCUCCUCUUGUCCUUCAGUGAGUGGAUAGCCUCUCGCUUCUGUCCCCACCUGCUUAAACCCAGCAUUCUCAGAAUCAAUACCAUAGGGACAGCCAGUGGGGACAGUAAUCUUUGAAUGCUGGCUUUGGACUCCCCCUUGUUGUCUCCUCCUCCACGACAGGUCCUAUUUCACUCCUCUCAAGGCUCAUGGCUGGGUACUUAUAGCAUGUGCACCCUGCUGGGAAAGCACGUCUGGAAAGAUAUUCCCUAUUCCCUAUGUGAGAAGAGGAUUCGCCGUCCCUUGAAGGCAAAGGCACUUUUAUCACAGAGCCGGUUCCCCCGCUUUGACUGCUUCUUGUUUCUGCGGACGUGUCCAUUGCGGGCAGUGAUUGCAUUUCCGUCAGCUCCUGUGAUGAAAGCUGGCCAUUCCCGUGAACCCUGACCUGUUCCCCUGGCUCCGAGGCCAGUCCGAAAGACGUUCUCCCCUGGAGUCUGACUAUCUUCUGUUCUGUACUGCUUCGGGAACGCCCAUCUAUGUUCCCAUUGUGUGACGUUUUGUCAGGGCUCCGUAUCAGAGAAUUUAUUAGUUAUCAAAAGCAUGCACCCUGCAGCCAUAGUACAAAAAGUUUUGGGUGUCAUGGACUGAGCGAGCUUCCAGUGCAUGAGCCAGGCCUGUCCACAUAGACGGGUCCAUUCAUGAAUACACAGGGUGUUGCUUCACAGCACAAUGGUUCACAGAGUAAACGCUCCUCCAAGGUCCAAGUUGUAAAAAUGUGCCAGAAGGUGCUGUGAGGUAUUAAAGGAGAACCGCGUGUAUAUGCCGUGGAGGUGAACAUGAUGGUGAAGAAGGUAGAAUGCUUUGUACUGGAUUUGCGGAACAUGACUCUCUGCAAUCACGGCCUUCAGUUUCUCAGGGGCUCUUGUCCCUUAUGGAGCUGGUUACAGUCGAUGUCCUGUAUGAAGACAAGGGGUGGCACAUUUCCAAGUAUUUCUGUUGCUGAAGGGUGUUGUCAGUAAUGGAAGAAAAGUCAUGCCCUUAGUCUUCGUCCUGUUGUCCUUCAGUGAGUGGAUAGCCUCACGCUUCUGUCGCGACAGGCUGUCCCUAUACUGGUGAUUCUUAGAAUGGUGGGUUGGGAUUCCCCCUGGUUGUCUCCCCCUCUGCGACAAGUCCUGUGUCAGUCCUCUCAAGGGCAUUAGCGGGCAACUGGUAGCAUGUGCAUCAUGGUGGUAAGCACAUCUGGUAAGAUAUUCCCUAGUACCUAUGUACCAAGAAGGAUUCACGGUCCUAUGAAGGCAAAGGAAGUGUUACCCCAGAGCCAGUUACCCUUUUUGACUGCUUGUUUCUGCUGGACCUGUCCAAUGAGGCCACUGAUCUCAUUUCCGUCAGCUCCCGCGAGGAAAGCUGGCCAUUCCUGUGAACUCUGACCUGUUCCCCUGCCUCUGAUGCCUGUCUCAAAGACAUUCUCCCCUGGAGUCUGACUGUCUUCUGUUCUGUACUGCUUCAGGAAUGCCCACGCAUCUUCCUAUUGUGUGAAGUUUUUCUCCAAGGAAAUGAAAUUACUUUUAGUACAAUCCUUCACAGAUAUUUCAUCCAUGGGUCUCAUCCCCACUGUCACACGUCUUGCCAGGGUAGUCAAGCCUGUCUUCUCCGUGAGAUGAGUACAUGCGUGCUCCUUGACAACUGGCUUUUCUCUCAGAAGUGGGAGAACUGUAAUCCAUAGUGGUGGCGGGCCUUGCUUGCCUUCUCCUCAAAGUGCUUCGUUUUCUCUCGUAUUCCAAUCCCGGGGUUUGCCACAUCUAUAUUAGAAAUGAGGGUGUCUGAACUGAAUCCGUUGUGUGAGUCUUCCUGAGAAUUACCUGUCCUGUGUUUCCAACUUAAGUCUGGUGCUGGCACUGCUCUCUGAUGCUGUGUGUAGGGUCCGAAAUCGAGCUUCUAUCCAGCCAGAAUUCCUGGGUCCUCUUGUCCAGGAGUAUGGUGGCAGGUUUUCAAGUGCCUGUUUGUAGACACUGGACAUGAGAGCAGUAGAGUAGCCUGUAUCAGCAUGUCGGGGCUCGGUGUCAGAGAUGUUAUUUUAGAUUACCAGUGUGCAUGCUGCAGCCGCAGUGCACCAAGUUUUUGGUGCUAGAAACGGAGCGUCCACUGCAUGAGCCAGGCCUGUCCACAAAGACAGUUCCAAUCAUGAAUACAGAAGGUAUCCCUUCAGUGCAGAAUGAUUCACAGAGUAAAUGCUCCUCGAAGGACCCAGUUUUAGAAAUCAUCCAGAAUGUGCUGUGGGAUAUGAAAGGAGAACCAUGUGGAGGUCCCCUAGGGUUAAAUGUGAUGGUCGAGAAGGUAGAAUGCUUUGUACUGGAUUUCCCGAACAUGACUCUCUGCAUUCACGGCCUUCAGUCUCUCAGGUGCUGUUGUCCCCUAAGGAGCUGGUUAGUCAAUGUCCUGUAUGAAGACAGGUGUUGGCACAUUUCCAAGAAUUUCUGCUGCUGAAGGGUGUUGCCAGUAAUGGAAGAAAUGUCAUGCAGUUGCUCUUCCUCCUCUUGUCCUUCAGCAAGUGGAUAGACUCUCGCUUCUGUCCCCACCGGCUGUCCCUAUGGUGAUUAUUCUUAGAAUGCUAGGUUCGUAUUCACCCUGGUUGUGUCCUCCACGACAGGUCCUAUUUCACUCCUCUCAAAGGCUCAUAGCGGGGUGCUCAUAGCAUGUGCACCCUGCUGGGAAAGCACAUCUGCCAAGAUAUUCCCUAUUCCCUAUGAGAGAAGAGGAUUCGCCCUCCCUUGAAGGCAAAGUCAGUUUUACCCCAGAGCCAGUUCCCCCACUUUGACUGCUUCCUGUUUCUGCGGGGCGUGUCCAUUGCGGGCAGGGUUCGCUUUUCUGUCAGCUCCCGUGAGGGAAGCUGGCCAUUCCUGUGCACUCUGGCCUGUUCCCCUGGCUCCCAUGCCUGUCUCAAUGACGUUCUCCCCCAGAAUCUGACUAUCUUCUAUUCUGUACUGCUUCGGGAAUGGUCACGUAUGUUCCCAUUGUGUGACAUUAUCCUCCAAGGAAAUGAAAUUCCCUUUAGUACAAUCCUUCGCAGAUAUUUCAUCCAUAGGUCUCAUCCCCAGUGUCACACCUCUUGGCACGGUAGUCAAGAUUGUCUUUUCCGUGAGAUGAAUGCAUGCAUCCUUCCUUGACACCUUGUUUUCUCAUGGCGGGGGGAGAAAUAUAAUCCAUAGUGCUGGCGGGGCUUGCUUGUCUUCCCUUCUAAUUGCUUCACUUGCACUUGUGUUCCAAUCCCGGGGUUUCCCUCCACUGUAUUAGAAUUGCGGGUGUCUGAACCAAAGCCUUUUUGUGUGUCUCCCUGAGAAUUACUUGUCCUGUGUUCCCAACUCGGGUCAUGUUCUUGCUUUGCUGUGUGAUGUUCUUUUACGGUACAGAAGGGGGCCGAGCCCGUAUCUCCCUGAUUGGUGAGAAGCGUGGGCCCAGAAUUGGCAUUUCAGACAUCGAGUUAUCCAAGUUAUUUUCCUUUAUUGUCUCCUCUUCCAGUCCCUUUUUUAGGUGUUGCAUUUUUGGAGUGAGUACUUUGGGCUGUGAAUUCAGCCUCCUUCGGGUGACACAGCCUAGCUGGCCCUUAUGUGCCUAUCUUUGACUGCAGGGUGUGAUUGGUUUCAGUGCCAAGCGCCUUGUCUUUCGUUUACCCCAGCUCGGACUGUUUGCUUGUCAUUGCUGGGCGUGUGGUGUAAGAUAUGAGGGGGAGGUUAGUUGGGUGCUGUCCUGUGGAGGAAUGUGUGGAGCAUGUGGUAGAAUGCAGUGUACUGGUUCUUCCCAAAAAUCACUCCCUGCAUUCCCGGCCUUGAUUUUCUGAAGGGCUGUUGCACCUCAUAUCACUUUUUACAAUGGAUUUCUGGUUUUGAAGUAUCUGGUUUUCUCUUUUCAAUGCAUGUGUUUUAUUUCAUGUGUUUCACUAGUGGGUAAGGUGUAUUUUGCUCAUGAGGCUCGUUCUCUUCAUGUUUAGUUUUUUCAUGACCUCUUGCUCCUAUCCCCAUUGCCUGCUGUAUUGCUGGAUGACAUUGCACUGCUGAGAGUCUACUGAAUUAGUGUCUGCAAGCAUCCCUCCCUCUGUUGGUCAUUUUCUACAGGCUUUGUUGGAUAGUCACCAGAAAUGAUGUUUUUCUUUGUUGUUGUAUUUUAUCUCAUGUAGAAAAAUGGUUCAUCUUUGUGAUCAGUAUUUCUGCUUUAGAGGUGCCCUAUUUCUUUUUGAAUUUCAUGGAAGCAAGUCUCAGUCUCGUCCUCUGAACUUACCUUGCAUUCUCUUUCCUGAGUUACUCUACCAAGCUCACAAACUUGAAAGAAGUGUUGGUACCUGUCUUACAAUCCACUGAAUUUCUGUUCAAAAUAUCACUUUUCACCUGUUUACCUCAUUACAUACCUGUUGGACAAAGACGACAAGUAUUUCUGAGAUCAUUUUUUUUCAUUGGUUAUAGGAAGUCUGUGAAUUAGUCUUGUAAAGCGUCAAUUUACCUUUUUGCAUAUUCUUCAGCAACUGUUGGACAAUGACCACAGCCAACCAUAUGUCAAUUUACUCCAGCAGUAGUAGAGAAAAUGGCUGAUCCAGUAGAUUAUCAUACUGCUGCUUCAAGCGUUCCUCGCAGAGUUAAAGCUAUGUCAUGGAUAUGAAUCAGUGUCCCUUUUGAUCAAAAUGCUUGAUGACUUCUUCCAUAAUGCCCUGCUGGAUACAGCCCAACUAAAUGGCAAUGAAUGUGCCUGUUUUAUACUCCAUUGGACGGUUUUUACCAACCAUUAUUUGCCUGUGUUCACCUUUUUCAGCACCUGCUAGACAUGUACUUUUUCAGCUAUGGGAAAAAGGGCAAUCUAUCGAGUCAGCGUGGUGCUAUUUGUGUUUUUUUUCUCACAUUUCAUCUAAAAAAUGAUACAUCCAUGUAUCCAACACCCUUCUGUUCAGAUGUGUGACAUCUGACUUGUUACACCCGACUGAAUUUACUUCACCAGCACUGGGAAGACUGGACAGUAAAUCAUAUCUUUGUAGUACCAUUUCUGUUGUUUCUCACAGGUCGGAAAAACUGUUUUACCAACGGAUCUGUCAGCACCAUGCUCACCCAGUGAGCUAACUGGCCAUCCCUAUAUGGGAUCCGAACCCAUGGCCUUGGUGUGAUCAGCAACGCACUCUCCCGAGUGAGCCACAGUCCGGCCCUACCAACGGAUCUGAAUGCUUUCUGUUCAGAUGUUUGAAAUCUAUCCUAUUAAAUCCCCUGCUGCAUGCAGGUUGGCUUGAUGAUAAUUUCAAUGUCAGUUUACAAUCCAUUACAUUGAUUUUUAUAAACAUCACUUUCUAUGUUUACGUCCUAUUGUACCUACCGAAUAGUGUUAAAAUCGGUGCUGAGUUUGUGUACAGUUUGUGUACAGACCUGGGCAGGAUAGGCAGUGUAUCAGUGCAGUGUAAUGAAGACUCAUGUAUUUCUCUGAAAUCCAAAGGAUUGCCAAGACAAUGUUGCUGAAAUUUUCUGCUCAAUAUGAGUGAUGCCUUCCACUGUCACUCUGCCUUUUUGCCACCUCACUUGAUGGUAGUGAAGUAGCUGCCACUACAGUGCAUUGGAAUUGUUAUUGCCAUAGUCACUUGCCCUUUGGUAAAAUCUUUCAGCUUUGCUGAGACAGUCACCACAACCCACUGGAGGUAAUGUACCUAACCAGUUCUGAAAAUAGUGUACCAUUUUAAUGUAGUGAUGCUUUACAUUUUCCUCAUAGCCUGAGUGCGUGCCAGUUUUCUUAAGCCCUUGGCAAUGCCUUUCUUCUCAAGCACUUGAUGACCUUUCCAGUAGUGCUCUGCUGUGUAGUCUCCUGGUUGAUUGCAGUGAAGGUGCCUGUAGGAAGUCACUGACUGGGUAUUCCGAGCAUCACUUCCGCUGUGUUUAAGUCCUACCGCACAUGCUAGACUAUCACCACAGUCAAACAUUUGCUCGUGUACUUUCCCAGCCCUGGGAAAGUAAUGGCCUAUCAGAUCAGUGAAAUACUACUCCAUAUGUAUCUCACUUGCCCGGAAGCCUCUGGACAGUCUAGGGCUGUGAGGGACUUCCCCCACAUGCAAACCUGUCAAAGCAUUGGCCAAAUAAAGCUUGUGUAUGCUGCCUUA